rnacentral:rRNA from 1 species
AGAGCAUAAGGCGGAUGCCUUGGCACUGGGAGCCGAUGAAGGACGUGACAAGCUGCGAUAAGCUACGGGGAGGAGCACAUAUCCGUCAAUCCGUAGAUUUCCGAAUGGGGGAACCCACCUAUAGUAAUGUGUAGGUAUUUUCGUAUGAAUCUAUAGUACGAAUAAAGGCAACCCGGGGAACUGAAACAUCUAAGUACCCGGAGGAAGAGAAAGAAAAAUCGAUUUCCUAAGUAGCGGCGAGCGAAAGGGAAAGAGGCCAAACCGUUAGUUUACUAACGGGGUUGUGGAUCACAGCCGUGGUAGAUACAAGUUUAGCAGAAGACAACUGGAAAGUUUGCGACACAGAGGGUAAUAUCCCCGUAUGCGAAAAAUGAGUAUCACCUAUGUGACACCAGAGUAGGACCGAACACGUGGAAUUCGGUUUGAAGCCGGGGGGCCCACCCCCCAAGCCUAAAUACUACCCAGUGACCGAUAGUGAAUAGUACCGUGAGGGAAAGGUGAAAAGGACCCCGGGAGGGGAGUGAAAUAGAACCUGAAACCUUAUGCUUACAAGCAGAGGGAGCGCAAGUGACCUCGUACUUUUUGUAGAACGGGCCAACGAGUUAUGGUAUGCAGCGAGGUUAAGGUGCUGGAGCACUGGAGCCGUAGAGAAAUCGAGUCUGAAAGGGCGAAAGUUGCAUGCUGUAGACCCGAAACCGGGUGAUCUAUCCAUGUCCAGGUUGAAGUAACUGUAAUAGGUUAUGGAGGACCGAACUUAUAUCUGUUGAAAAAGGUUAGGAUGAGGUGUGGAUAGGGGUGAAAUUCCAAUCGAACUCGGAUAUAGCUGGUUCUCCUCGAAAUAGCUUUAGGGCUAGCCUCGUAGUAAGAUACCUGGGGGUAGAGCACUGAAUGUUCUAGGGGCCUUCACCGGUUACCGAAAACUAUCAAACUCCGAAUACCAGAGUAUCAUCUACGGGAGUCAGACUAUGUGAGAUAAGUUUCAUAGUCGAAAGGGAAACAGCCCAGACCGUCAGCUAAGGUCCCAAAAUAUAGGUUAAGUGGAAAAGGAUGUGGGGUUGCACAGACAGCUAGGAUGUUGGCUUAGAAGCAGCCAUUCAUUCAAAGAGUGCGUAAUAGCUCACUAGUCGAGUGACCCUGCGCCGAAGAUAAACGGGGCUAAAACCUAUUACCGAAGCUACGGAUACUUAAUGUAUGGUAGAGGAGCGUCGUAUACGGGUUGAAGCAGUAUUGUAAGGUAUUGUGGACUUUAUACGAGAGAGAAUGUUGGCAUGAGUAGCGCGAGGCAGGUGAGAAUCCUGCCCACCGAAAAUCUAAGGUUUCCUGAGGAAGGUUCGUCCACUCAGGGUUAGUCGGGGCCUAAGCCGAGGGCGAAAGCCAUAGGCGAUGGAUAACAGGUAGAAAUUCCUGUACCACCGAAGGUUGUUUGAAUGAUGUGGGGACACAGGAGGAUAAGCUGAGCACGCCGUUGGUAGAGCGUGUCCAAGCGUCAAGGGAGUAUGAAUAGGCAAAUCCGUUCAUAUAUAUUCUGAGGCGUGAUGGGGUGGUCAAUAGACCGGAAGCAGCUGAUUUCACACUGUCAAGAAAAGCCGCUAAUUAGACCUAAGGUGCCCGUACCGCAAACCGACACAGGUAGAUGAGGAGAGAAUCCUAAGGUGAGCGAGCGAACUAUUGUUAAGGAACUCGGCAAAAUAACCCCGUAACUUCGGGAGAAGGGGUGCCUGCUUCGGCAGGCCGCAGUGAAAAGGCCCAGGCAACUGUUUACCAAAAACACAGGUCUCUGCAAAAGCGAAAGCUGAAGUAUAGGGGCUGACGCCUGCCCGGUGCUGGAAGGUUAAGGGGACGUGUCAUCGCAAGAGAAGCACUGAACUUAAGCCCCAGUAAACGGCGGCCGUAACUAUAACGGUCCUAAGGUAGCGAAAUUCCUUGUCGGGUAAGUUCCGACCCGCACGAAAGGCGUAAUGAUCUGGGCACUGUCUCAACAAUAGACUCGGUGAAAUUGUAGUACCGGUAAAGAUGCCGGUUACCCGCAGCAGGACGGAAAGACCCCGUGGAGCUUUACUGUAGCUUGAUAUUGAGUUUCGGCGUUGCAUGUACAGGAUAGGUGGGAGACUAUGAAGCAAGUACGCCAGUAUUUGCGGAGUCAUCGUUGGGAUACCACCCUUGUAACGCUGGAAUUCUAACCAUGUACCGUGAACCGGUGCUGAGACAGUGUCAGGUGGGCAGUUUGACUGGGGCGGUCGCCUCCUAAAGAGUAACGGA